CAGCUCAGCGGUUGAACACUCGCUUCACAAGCGAUAGGUCGGUGGUUCAAACCCACUAGGG
rnacentral:tRNA from 1 species